AUUGAACGCUGGCAGCAGGCCUAACACAUGCAAGUCGAGCGGAUGAAGGGAGCUUGCUCCUGGAUUCAGCGGCGGACGGGUGAGUAAUGCCUAGGAGUCUGCCUGGUAGUGGGGGAUAACGUCCGUAAACGGGCGCUAAUACCGCAUACGUCCUGAGGGAGAAAGUGGGGGAUCUUCGGACCUCACGCUAUCAGAUGAGCCUAGGUCGGAUUAGCUAGUUGGUGGGGUAAAGGCCUACCAAGGCGACGAUCCGUAACUGGUCUGAGAGGAUGAUCAGUCACACUGGAACUGAGACACGGUCCAGACUCCUACGGGAGGCAGCAGUGGGGAAUAUUGGACAAUGGGCGAAAGCCUGAUCCAGCCAUGCCGCGUGUGUGAAGAAGGUCUUCGGAUUGUAAAGCACUUUAAGUUGGGAGGAAGGGCAGUAAGUUAAUACCUUGCUGUUUUGACGUUACCAACAGAAUAAGCACCGGCUAACUUCGUG
rnacentral:rRNA from 1 species